rnacentral:rRNA from 1 species
UACAGAGGGUGCGAGCGUUGUUCGGAAUUAUUGGGCGUAAAGCGCGCGUAGGCGGCUACUUAAGUCGGAUGUGAAAGCCCUUGGCUCAACUGAGGAAGUGCACCCGAAACUGAGUGGCUAGAGUACGAAAGAGGGUCGCGGAAUUCCCGGUGUAGAGGUGAAAUUCGUAGAUAUCGGGAGGAACACCGGUGGCGAAGGCGGCGACCUGGGUCGAUACUGACGCUGAGGUGCGAAAGCGUGGGGAGCAAACAGG